rnacentral:lncRNA from 1 species
UUUGUGUUUUUGUUUUCUUUUUUUUUUUUGCGUUCUAUUUAUUUUUAGUUUUCAAACAUGUUUAAAAUAUUGUUUCUGUUUUGGUAGGAAGAAGGUACUUUUUCAAUAACCUACUCUCGGGGGAACUGUGUGGCAAUGGAGUGUGUGUGUGUGUGUGUGUGUGUGUGUCUUUCAGAGUUCAGCAGAGACUCUGAAGCAAGGAAAGUGUUUUGUGUUCGUCCCGCUGUGGCCUUGGUCUAGUUGUAGAUUACCACAUCCUGGGUAGUUUUACACACACCAACUUCAUGUGCUGCUGAAGCCAGAGGCUGUGAAUCUGCAGAAAAAGACCUAGUUCUUUUGAGCUCUGGUGAGAGACCCGAUACCCAACCAUUUAUUCCAGCUUUUCGAAUUUGUGCUGGUUGCAGGUUCACAGGCUACGCUGCCUCUCCAGGCGGGAGGACUUGGGGAUCUGCAGAGAAGGGAGCCUUUGCAGGUGUAGUGCUGAAGACCCGUUUACCAGGUUUUUUAAUCUGUGGGCCUCCACUCAGUCAUCGAUGGGAGAAGAUUUCGGUUGGAGCUGCUUUGGCUUACAAAGGUAAUUGUAGCUGUUUGUGGAGAAAGGCUGACCUUAUAACCCCUCACCAAUUUAUCCAGAGACUAAGUACCGUCCUUUGUCGUAUAGCUGCCAUAUACCUUUUUAAUGUGCAUUAUUUCAUAUUUGUUUUUUACCAGGUGAUAUUUAGAGACAAGGAUAAAGUGACAUUGAAUGUAAAAGAAGAAAGUAUUGGUAAAGAAAUAUUCAAGGAGGUGUGUUCAAGUGGAAGGGGACGAGGAUAAACCUGUGGCUGAUUCAUGCCGAUGUUUGGUAGAAAGUAACACAGUAGUGUAAAGCAAUUACCCUUCAAUUAAAAAUAAAUAAAUUUACCAAGAGACA